rnacentral:rRNA from 1 species
UACGGAGGGUGCAAGCGGUAUCCGGAUUCACUGGGGUUAAAGGGUGCGUAGGUGGGUUGAUAAGUCAGUGGUGAAAUCCCCGAGCUUAACUUGGGAACUGCCAUUGAUACUAUUGAUCUUGAAUACCGUGGAGGUCAGCGGAAUAUGUCAUGUAGCGGUGAAAUGCUUAGAUAUGACAUAGAACACCAAUUGCGAAGCCAGCUGGCUACGCGAAUAUUGACACUGAUGCACGAAAGCGUGGGGAUCAAACAGG